GAGACACAUGCGCACUGG
rnacentral:misc_RNA from 1 species